GCGGACGUGGCGAAACUGGUAGACGCAAGAGACUUAAAAUCUCUCGGGCUUGGCUCAUACGGGUUCGAUCCCCGUCGUCCGCACCA
rnacentral:tRNA from 1 species